GGAUUUUGCUGCUCGCAUCUCAAAAUGAAGUACAAUAGAUAUCAUAGAGAAAGCUACGUUUAUUUUGCAUUCCUAAGUUUAACAUGAGAAGUAUUUAUAAUAGUUAAGCAUCAAAAUGAUUACUGAAGCUGCACAUUCAAAUCUUGUCUUUUCUCAGUUGACUUGUAUCAAUGGAAAAAUCCCACAGAUAUCCAUCAAAAUGAAAUUUUCAAGGACAUAACUCAUUAUCAGCCAAGAGUGUUUUAUAGCCUUUGGAUAGUUUACAGUCAUUUGGAUCUGCAGUAUUAAUUCUGCAUUAGUGAAUGUCACACAUAUAUUAUUUAAUAUAUACCAAACAAUGAGCUCUCUAAGUAAAUUCUUUGUUCUCUGCAGCUUCUCAUUUUCUCUGAAAAGAGAGCAUUGCAGAGAAAGUCUUUGAGAUAAAGAAAAAUAAUUAUUUGAGAAAACUGAUGCCAGGUAAGGCCAAAAGUGUCUUCAGGCUAACAGUAUUGAUUAGCAUUUUUGAAGUUUGAUAGCUAAUAGCUUUACUUUUUUUUUUUUUGCCUUGAGGAUUUGAGAUUUUUUGCACAAAUCCUUUGGUUUAACAUGACAGCCACAUUAUUAAUUAACAGAAAUUGCAAAGAGUGACUUCAGCUAACUGCUAGCUGUAGAAUUUAUUUAUAUACCGUAUAAAUACUUCGGGGUGUAUGCCAAAAGAAUUAAUAGUCAUAGGAAUAAUAUCACUUAACUUUUGUAUCAAGGAGACAUGGUAAUACUUUAUUACAACAUUUGAAUUAAUGUGCAAAUUUAAUUCCUUAUUCUGUGCUAUGCUUAUUAACAGUCAGAGAGAAACUGAUAGCAUUGCAGACCUAGAAGCAGGAGAGUGUAACUCUGAAAAAACAUAUACACAAACAACCUCUAAAGGUCGCCUUUCAUUUUGUAAUUGCGGAAUAUGAGUAGUGGAAGGAAACCUAACAUUAUCAUCUUUUCUUUUUUUAAUCAUCAGGCAUCCAACAAAAAACCCCCAAACAAACACCAAACCCAAACCUCCCUUGAAUGGCUAAUAUUUAUGCCUUAUUGAGCUCCUACAUCUCUCAUAUUUUUCUAUGUAAUAGGGAAGGAAAUUAAUAUUUCACCAGACAUGCUUAGCUGAUAAUGAUGCUAAUAAUAUUUAUUUGUUGUUUAAUGGGGGAAAUUAACAUAAUUUUUGUUAUGUUUUGAAUUCUGUAUUUGAAUCUGUAACACUUGAAUAUUCUAAUGAAUUCUGGUUGUUCAUUUCUACUACCCAGAUUUGAAUAACUCACUUUUGAAGUAUUUUGUCCAUCCAUUAAUUACUUCUUGAAGUAGGUUAUAUGUAGAUAUAGGACAUACUGAAGGCAGAUAUCACUUGGGCUUCUACUCUGUAUUUUGUUAUUUUUAGUCAUCAUUUUGCUCUCAUUUGAUGGCACACAGCAAUUUUUCACAUUCUGAUUUUCUGUGCUGUGCCUCUAGGCUUUUAAAUACAGGCACACUGGAGGCCACAUGAAACAUUUGUGGCAAUAUAUUGUUCACUGAAGUGAUGUUUCCUCAGCAUCAAGAUUAGUAGCAACUAAUGACUACCAGAAUGUUCCUAUAAGUGUUAUGAAUAGUUAGUGAUCAGAAAGAAUUCAGUGUAUGAUGAUAUGUUAAAAAUCUACUUUUCAAAAUUGAUAUGCAUAGUAUCUUUCCAGCUGUUACCUAAUGAGUGGAUGGAGUUUGUAUCAGGACUUUCAAGUUUCCAUACCAAAUGUCUUAAAUUCCCAUUAUGAGACACCUGUAUGGAAUAUUUUUCUUUGCAAAAGACUGAAAAAUGCUCCCUAUAUCCUCCUAAGUGGAUUUUCCUUAUUAAAUGCCUUUUCUUUUGUAGAGUAUGACUUUCACCUUUUUUCCUACUGCACCAUGAUUUUACUGUGCUUUUUAUAUAUUGCAUUCUCUCUCUCUAUAGACUUAGUGCUUUUAUUUCAGCCAUGUUUAGUAUUGUAUUUUAACUACACUAUUUGCUUAGUAUUAAUGAAGUCCUUGCAUGGAGUGUAAUUGCAGCAGUUUUAUGUGAAGUGUGUUGGUCUCUAAGAACAGCAAAUAUAAUUGCUUUUGUUACUUGGCUAUCUCUUAAUUUCCCUCAUAAUUUCCCUCAGGCUGACAAUAUUAUAACUCAUGCAGAGCACCAAAGUUCUAAAAUCUUAAAGAAAAUGUAAAACCACGGAAUUGUUAGUAAAGGAUAAGCUGUGCCCUUUUUUUUUUUUUUUACCUCUUUCUGCCUUUUAUUUCCUUUUUAAUUAAUAGAGGAUACUUCUAUUAACUGUAUCUGAGUCCUAAAGCUAUUGAUGCCUUUACCAGUUCAAGAGAGAAAAGUCUUUUAAAAAAAACAACAACCAAGAACACUUUAUUUAAGGUAGAUUUCAUUCUUGACACAGAGUCAAUGAGUCCAAGUUCAGUCAUGUCAAGUUACUGAAAGAAAGGAUUAAAACAUUUUUAUAAUACUCAGACUGUUGUAGAGUUAUGUCAUUAUAAAGUACACACGAGGAAGAAAAAGUUGAUCAUGGGCGUAAAAAUUUAAUGAAUGCAGUUUAACGUUUUUCUGUAUUCUGUCCUCAUGCACAAAAGAACGACAACAAAAUCAACCCCCCAAACAAAACAAAAAAACCCCCCCUGCCAUAACAACUGGCAUAAAUCAUGCUGAACUAGGUAACUUUUAAGACUCAAAAUUCAGGAAUUCUGACUUCUCAUAUCUGACAACCUCUUUGUUUAAUCUCGCCCUCAAGUUCAAAGUUCUGUUACAAAAGCUGAUAUACAGUAAAGAAAGUAGAAGCUGCCUCUUAAGGGCAGCAAUCCAUCUCAGUCAGCCAAGUCAGUGGAGCCAGGACAGUGCACAGGAUGAUGCUAUUCUGCAUGACUCACUCAAACCUAACUCCCUUAAAUCAGGAACAGCUAUGGAAUUGUAAAAAGACAUCUGACGUAACUCUUAGUGAGUUAACACUCAUCUAGUAAGGACCAUGAAGUACCGUAACACUGUAUGGUACUUCAACUCUUGUAACCUCGUCUUCUGGUGGAUUUUUUUUCUUUAGCUAAUUGUUUCUACUACACAUAGAAUUGUAGAAUGCCAGGUUGGAAUGGACAUUAAGGAUCAUCUUGUCCAACCUUUCUUGGCAAAAGCCUGGUCUAGAUGACAUGGCUCUGCACCCUGGCCAGCCAAAUCUUAACUGUCCAAUGGGGAAUCCACCACUUCCUUGGGGGGAUUAUUCCAAUGGCUGAUUGUUCUUAUUGUGAAAACUUUUCCUCUUUAUGUCCAAUCAGAAUCUCCCUGCGAGUAACUUACGCCCACCUUUUCCAUGUGACUCCUUGUAGAAGAGGAGUCUCCAUCUUUGUAGUCACUCUUUAAAUACUGGAACAUGGUGAUAAGGUCUCCUCUGAGCCUUCUUUUCUCUAGGGUGAACAAACCUACUUCUCUCAGCCUUUCCUCGCAUGGCAGGCUUCCAAGUCCUUUGAUCAUCUUUGUGAUUAUGUUAUUAUCUUUGUGAUAAUGUUAUUUUAUUAUGAUUGAGAGGCUGAUUAUAUUUUUGGUUUAGAUCAAUGGUUUUGACUGAGCCUUCACCAAAAUGAUAUGAACAGUUUCCAUUGGUUUAUGUUGUAUUAGAAUAACUCAUUUUGUUCAGAUGGGUAUUUUGAAGCUGUGACUACCAGGUUUAUAAGUGAACAUUGAAAUAAGGUUUAUAAUUUCUAAGGGGAAAAGGAAAGGAAAUUACUUUUAUUUUCUGUCUACAGUGCUAAUUCAGUCUUCUUUUAAAACUGAAAUAUGUAAUCGCAUAGUUAAGGGACUGUGCUUUUGAAGAACAAGCAAGUAGAAAUUUCAAGCUAAAUGCCAAAUGCCGAGAAAAAUACCACUUGGGAAAGAAGCAAAAAUUUCUUAAAGUGCUCGUGAAAGCAAGUAUUUUGACUAUAAGGAGAUAUAAAAAAAAACAAACCAAACCAAACAACAAAACAAAAUACAAAUGUGUGAUUGUCUUCUCCACUUCUUAAUAGAGAGAUGUAAUCAUAAAAUAUGUUUUUUAAAGUUCUACAAGA
ensembl:lncRNA